rnacentral:rRNA from 1 species
UACAGGGGGGGCAAGCGUUGUUCGGAAUUACUGGGCGUAAAGGGCUCGUAGGUGGCCAACUAAGUCAGACGUGAAAUCCCUCAGCUUAACUGGGGAAUUGCGUCUGAUACUGGAUGGCUUGAGUUUGGGAGAGGGAUGCGGAAUUCCAGGUGUAGCGGUGAAAUGCGUAGAUAUCUGGAGGAACACCGGUGGCGAAGGCGGCAUCCUGGACCAACACUGACACUGAGGAGCGAAAGCCAGGGGAGCAAACGGG